UUAUUAUUAUUAUUUUUUUAUAAUUAUUGAUAAGAUAAAGGAGAUGGAGUUGCUAGAGUUUAAAAACCAAACCAAACCAAAAACUUGGCUUAUUCAGUUUCGCUAAAUUUCAAACCAAAUAGACUGAACCAACCGAAUUCUCAUCCUAAUGAAUAUUGUUUAAAUUUCAAUUUUUCCAUUAAUGUAAUUGCCCACCUCUUUUCCUGUGGAAGUAGUACGACUCUGUUAAACAAUUAAUUUUGCAUUCAAAAGCUAUUGACAACAAAAUGCAAUAAUUUCAUAUCUAGGCAGUUUCUCAAGGAUAUCAAUUCCUUCCACAUCUCAUAAACAUAACAACUCAAAGUGAUAUGGUGAAUUUCAAUAA
rnacentral:misc_RNA from 1 species